rnacentral:rRNA from 1 species
AACGAACGCUGGCGGCAUGCCUAACACAUGCAAGUCGAACGAGACCUUCGGGUCUAGUGGCGCACGGGUGCGUAACGCGUGGGAACCUGCCCUUAGGUUCGGAAUAACUCCCCGAAAGGGGUGCUAAUACCGGAGAAUGUCUUCGGCCCAUAGAUUUAUCGCGUUUGGAUGCGCCCGCGUUGGAUUCGCUAGUUGGUAUGGUAAAAGCCUACCCAGGCGACGAUCCAUAGCUGGUCUGAGAGGAUGAUCAGCCACACUGGGACUGAGACACGGCCCAGACUCCUACGGGAGGAAGCAGUGGGGAGUAGAGGACAAUGGGCGAAAUCCUGAUCCACCUAUGCCGCGUGAGGGAUGAAGGCCUUAGGGUUGUAAAGCUCUUUUACCCGGGAUGAUAAUGACAGUACCGGGAGAAUAAGCUCCGGCUAACUCCGCG